GGAGGGUGCGAGCGUUGUUCGGAAUCAUUGGGCGUAAAGCGCGUGUAGGCGGCUUGGUAAGUCGGGUGUGAAAGCCCGGGGCCCAACCCCGGAACUGCACUCGAUACUGCCUCGCUAGAGUCCCGGAGAGGAGAGCGGAAUUCCCGGUGUAGAGGUGAAAUUCGUAGAUAUCGGGAGGAACACCAGCGGCGAAGGCGGCUCUCUGGACGGUGACUGACGCUGAGACGCGAAAGCGUGGGGAGCAAACAGGAUUAGAUACCCUGGUAGUCCACGCCGUAAACGUUGGGUGCUAGGUGUCGCGGGUAUUGACCCCCCUGCGGUGCCGCCGCUAACGCAUUAAGCACCCCGCCUGGGGAGUACGGUCGCAAGGCUA
rnacentral:rRNA from 1 species